rnacentral:rRNA from 1 species
UACGUAGGGAGCAAGCGUUGUUCGGAUUUACUGGGCGUAAAGGGAGCGUAGGCGGCGCGGUAAGUCAGAUGUGAAAUCCCGGGGCUCAACCCCGGAACUGCAUCCGAUACUGCCGUGCUUGAGGGUUGGAGAGGUAGCUGGAAUUAUCGGUGUAGCAGUGAAAUGCGUGGAUAUCGAUAGGAACACUCGUGGCGAAGGCGAGCUACUGGACAACAACUGACGCUGAGGCUCGAAGGCUAGGGGAGCAAAAGGG